GACGAACGCUGGCGGCGUGCUUAACACAUGCAAGUCGAACGGAAAGGCCUGCUUUCCCUUGUGGAUUGCGGGUACUCGAGUGGCGAACGGGUGAGUAACACGUGAGUGAUCUGCCCCCAACUUGGGUAUAAGCCUGGGAAACUGGGUCUAAUUCCCGAUAGGACUGCAGGGUGGUGCCUGUGGUGGAAAACGAGUGUCUAGUGGUUGGGGAUGAGCUCGCGGCCUAUCAGCUUGUUGGUGGGGUAAUGGCCUACCAAGGCGGCGACGGGUAGCCGGCCUGAGGGGGUGGACGGCCACAUUGGGACUGAGAUACGGCCCAGACUCCUACGGGAGGCAGCAGUGGGGAAUAUUACCCAAUGGGCGGAAGCCUGAUGCAGCGACGCCGCGUGGGGGAUGCCGGCCUUCGGGUUGUAAACUCCUUUCGACCGCGAGGAAGCCACCUGGUUGGAAGGGUGGUGACGGUAGUGGUAGAAGAAGCACCGGCUAACUACGUG
rnacentral:rRNA from 1 species